rnacentral:rRNA from 1 species
UACGUAGGAUCCAAGCGUUAUCCGGAUUUACUGGGCGUAAAGAGUUGCGUAGGUGGCAAAGUAAGUCAGUAGUGAAAGCGUGUGGCUCAACCAUACUCACAUUACUGAAACUACUUAGCUUGAAGAUGAGAGAGGUCACUGGAAUUCCAAGUGUAGGAGUGAAAUCCGUAGAUAUUUGGAGGAACACCGAUGGCGUAGGCAGGUGACUGGCUCAUUCUUGACACUAAGGCACGAAAGCGUGGGGAGCAAACGGG